rnacentral:lncRNA from 1 species
AUGAACACAUCUUAAAAUGUGUUUCAAAGGGAGAAGGAUGGAUAAGCCAAAAAGGAAUCACGGGUGGCUACGAUUCAGUUUUCCAUCAGAUCUAUAGUCAUUUUGUAAAACUCAUAUCUUGGGCUCUAGAACUCAAACGUACACCAAACCAGUUCCAAAAGUUCAAACAUGGAGUUGGCUAACUUUCUUAAGAAGGCCAACCUCACUGAUAAGGACUUUAUCUAUGGUAAAGAAUGUCAUCUUUUCUGUUAGGUCUGAUCCGGGUCUGUUCUGAUAUGUCAUUUUGUUUUCAUCAUUUCUAAGGCUUGGAAAAGGAUCCAGAGUGAUUCCAAGUUUCUAUAUGUUCCUUAUAUUAUGAAUUUAAGAUCUGGAGAA